rnacentral:lncRNA from 1 species
UCCAAUCAGGGAGAUUACUAAGGGGCGGGGCCAGUUUCAACCACGGGCUUCAUCCACAACUGUGGAGGGAGGAUCGGAUGAUGAAGGACGGAGAUCGCCAGGCCGGGCCCAGCAUUCGAAAAAAAAUUUCGGGAGAAAAUUUUUUUUCGAAUGCUGGGCCCCUUUCGAAAAAGGGGAAGGUGAACCCGGCCCCUCCUGCGUGGCAUGAUAAUGGCGUCACCACUCAACCAUCCGGCCACCAAUUCUUUUGGAUUGGAUUCUGAAUUUUCUUCACCCAGAGGAUCAAGCUAUUGGGUUUUGAUAAGGCGAAUCAAAUGAUUCCAAUAAUUUAUUACAAUCAGAAAGUUAAGGAUUUUAUUCUAAUUGAAUGAUUAAACGAAAUACGUGUCCUUUUUGCAUACAUCGAAAUAGCUAUCUAAAAAUAUCUAUCAUUUUGAUUUUAAAAAUUUAUUUAUUACUGAAACGAUAGAUGGGUGCCACGUGGAACUCUAUUGAAUAUUAUUGUAUUUCAGUGGUUCUCAACGUUUUCAUAAAUACCUAUUACCAAAAUCAAAAUUCAAAAAUUUCAGUACCACCAAUAAAAAUAUGCCUUGCAUACAUAUAUGAAAUCAAGAUUAUAUACGUACCACUAUUCAUGUUUCGCGUACCAUCAGUGGCACACGUAUCACAGGUUGAAAACUGCUGUUGUGUUUUAUUUUAUUCCUAUUUAUGAACAACGUGUUUCAGUUUCUGGAAAAAGUCAUUAGAUAUCAAAUCAAUUAAUUACGUAAGUUUACCUGACAGUCGUGACAUGAUAUUAAUUAAUUAUAAUGCUCAACAAUAUUAAUAUUGAUUUAUUUCUUCUUUAUAUACAUAUUGUAAUCCCAUCAAAAAACGUUUCAUGUAAAAAAUGUAACCAAGUCUCUUGCCUCUUUAUCUGUAAAGGGUUGAGAUAUCA